UACAGAGGGGGCAAGCGUUGUUCGGAAUUACUGGGCGUAAAGGGCGCGUAGGCGGCCUGUUAAGUCGGACGUGAAAUCCCUGGGCUCAACCCAGGAACUGCGUCCGAUACUGGCAGGCUUGAAUCCGGGAGAGGGAUGCGGAAUUCCAGGUGUAGCGGUGAAAUGCGUAGAUAUCUGGAGGAACGCCGGUGGCGAAGGCGGCAUCCUGGACCGGCAUUGACGCUGAGGCGCGAAAGCCAGGGGAGCAAACGGG
rnacentral:rRNA from 1 species